rnacentral:lncRNA from 1 species
AGAGUCUAGCCCUGCAGGACCCAGUGUGGCAGCUGCGUGUCUCUGGAGCACUGGAGAGGGGGCUACUGCAAAUUAAGAUCUGCUGUAAAGAGCAUCUUCCUGGUUAUUCUCUGGGACGCAAAACCAUGGUGGUAUCUGAUCUCAUCACACUUCUGCCAGGAGGUGAAAUCGAAGAGGCUACAUUCUUGAUGCUCAGUGUCUUCUUCAGGUCAUUUGCCUGAGGACACCUGGGGAUACUGAGCUAUGAAAAGAAAACAUUUGGAAGAUCACUGAUUCCUUCAUGGAGAGGCUGGCUUGGGAAUAGAUGACGUGUCAAAGAUUGACAUCAACCUUGAGUGCUUAUUUGUGGACUUGAGAUACAGAUAAAAAAAAAAAAAAAAAAACCUCCCUAGAGUGAGGGCUACUUGGGAUACAUGCUAUAUCCCAAGGAGUUCUCAGUUUGAGGUCAGCCCCAGCUCUACAACUCACCAGGAGAGUGCGCGAGGAUGAGGGAGAGACAGCCUGCUCUGGUUCUCUUCAAGGUGACAAUGACACCUGUUGACAGAUGAGAAUUCCAGCCAGGAAUACAGAUUUAGGAAUCAUGUUUCUCACUCUCAUGAUGACAUAGAAGAGAUGCGUCUGAAUCUUUCUGCCAGUGUGUUAAAGUUAUUCUGAUAUUGACUGUAGUUCUGAGCUUUGUCUCUAUCCCACCAAACCACUAACUUCUGGAAAUUACUUGUAGACCAAGAUGGGAGGACUCCGUGUGUGGCUCCCUCUCUUCAUGUGACAAAGAAACUUCCUAAAAUACUAAAAGCUAAAGGAGAUUGUUAUCUAAGCUUGAGAUGGAAGGUUGCCAGCGGAAACUUGGAGGAUCACAGCCAGUCGCCUGGGAUUGACCACAGGGAGUGGCAGAGGCAGAAAGCAAAAGACCAGUUGCAAUUAUCCAGGUAAAAGAUGGAGGCUGUUGCAAUAAUCCAGAAUCCUGAAUUGAGCCUGUGUUCCCAGUUCCUAGAAACCCUCAAGGUUAUUGGUUUCCUCCUCGCUUAAUAGACCAGUGGAAGAAAUCUACCUCCAGUUCUAUCUUCACAUGAGCAACUGUUUACAGUUUACAAUAUUACUCUGAAAAUCAGUUCUUUUCAAGUUUUAUCUAACACCCACCAGAAGAAACAGAAGAUUAUGAAAAUGGAAUUUGUCAAAGUUCCUCUCCCAACAAUAUGAUAUUUAAUUUUGCUAACAUUUUUUUUUGAACACUUACUAUAUUGCAGACAAUGGUCUAAGUAAAGCAUUUUAUGUGCAUCCUAUCAUGUCAUCAUCACACAGCCCUGUGAGGUAGAUACUAUUAUUAUUAACCACAUUUCACAUUCAAAAAAACUGAGGCUUAGAGAGACUAAGUAAAUUGUCCAAGGUCACACAGCCAUGAAGUGGCAGAGCUGUGGUUAAAACCUAUGUCUGUCUGAUGUUUAAGAUUUUGCUGUUAGCAUUACUUUGAAAUGACAAUAUGAGGGCAUUUUAUGUAUUUUUUUUGCCCCAAUAUGAUCUGCAGAAACUAUGUAUUUUAAGUACUACAUUUCUUUUAUUUACCAAAUUAUUGUCAGAUAAGAAACCGAAAUAAAAGUUUACAGGGUCUAGGAUUCCUCCAUAA